ACGGCGUGGGUGACCGGGCGCUGCUGUUUGCCGAAGGGCAUGGACAGGGCGCCGAUCUUCUCGUCGACGUCGUG
rnacentral:tRNA from 2 species